UUAGUGAAGCUGAUCUCAAUAGAGAUUAUAUACAUGUCUGAAGUAUAUUUGAGCGUCAGAGAGAGAGAGAGAAACUAAACUAAUGGAAGAGACAAUGAAGAAUAAGAAGAAGAACGAUGGUUCCAAAAAGAAGGAGCGUCAUAUUGUCACUUGGUCUCAAGAGUUUGGAAGAUGCCUAGGUAUGAUGAUCGCUACGGGAACACUCGUCUUUACGUUGGACACGUAUCAUCCAGAACUCGUACCAGAGACCUUGAACGCCUUUUCAACAGAUAUGGAAGGUAACUGAGUUUCUUCUCGUUCUACCAAACUGAUUAUGUUGAUAUCUGUAGUGUCUUUUUCUUUGAACGCAUAAACUGAUUAUGUUGAUA